CUGUCGGUCCUCGAGAACGGAGCCUGCGCCCUGGCAUGUCCUGUUCGGGACCAGAACUUCGAAAACCGAACGGCCGGGGCGUCUCGGUUUCGGUCUCGGUUCCUAGGGUUCGGGACGCAUCUCGUUACACCCGACCCGUUAGUACGAGCUGGAUCUUUACCCCGUGACGACAUUCCGCCGGAAAGAAGUGGAACCGUGUGUGAUUUUAGCCGCCGUGUAUCUGUGGUCGGACCGGAUGAACGUUGCCACCGCCGCCGUUCCAGCAGCAGUAGUGUAUUUUGGGUGCCCCUCCCGGGAGCUGCGAGAAGAAGCUGGUCAGGACGGUCAAUCAGGUGGCAUGGAUCAAUCGCGCGCGUAGAUCCCGAGUCCCGGUUGAUUUAGGGGUGGAUUGGGUCUUUUGAUUCCGAAUCACUACGGGAGGGAAAAUCUGAUUUCUGCUUUGCGGGUAAGACGGGAAAAACACACCAAUACCAGUGCAUGGGCAGAUGAGGAAAACGGAUGAAAAGCGUCGCACACUGGUGACCCAGUACGAGUGGCUGCGAUACGGAGAGUGAGAAAACAUGUGAAAGGUGGAAAACGUAAAAAGAGAGAGUGCACUGUGUGAAGGGUGAUAGUUUUUUGCAAAAAGGAUGCUGCCGUUACCCCGGCGAUAUCAUGAAGGAUAGCUGACGCCGUUUCGAUAACUUAGAAUUCCGAUAUUGUGAUUGCGGCUAUUGUGAAGAUCUUGGAGGCUGAAGCCUAGGGUACGAAGAACUUUCCAACGAGUGUGUUUCGCGGAUGUGUUAGUGCGAGUAAAAUUCUUCCUCCGUGAAUUCGAGAGGGAUGCUGUAGAGAUAUGCGGAAAAUCAGCGUGUGCCCCACUGUGGCUUUGGGGUGAGAGUUGGGAAAAUUUCGGAACACCAAUACAGCACCAGCAGACGAGGCUGGACCAAGGCUAUAGAAGAGGCACCUUUUGGGUGGCGAGAGCAAGUGUCAGGAGAGAGUGCCAGUCAGGCAGCGGCGAUGCUUUUGACAUCUGGAAGAGUUUUCCAAUAGAGUGGCUGGUGUUGUGUGUUGUGAAGCUAUUCGAGGAGUGUUUAGAGCGCUAGGCAGGCGGAAAACGAGUCCUCCAGGAAUCGACGACUCCGGUGUUGUUGUUGUUUCCGUCGUAAAAUGUCAACGCAAUACGAGUGAAGGCACAAUUACUGUCCCUGCGGUUGUCCCAAAUUGCUCUACGCGUUGGAAGAAAUGUGGGUGGAUUCUGUGCGAGGCCGCGAGUGAGCUAGCUGAUGGAAGAUUUAUGAUUCACAGAGUUUUGCCGAAACAUACGAAAAGCGUUGCUUGGGCAGCAGCGGUCACAGAGUUAACGAUGGUUCGAAUGCGACGUCGAUGUCGGCGGUGAUAACGCCAAUGGGUGUCCGCAUAAAAGGGGGUGUAUACAGUGAAACAACACCGAAGCUAUUAACGAUCCGAAAUCCGUAGAAUAUCGUGUGAAACGCAGUGCAAAUUACGCAAUGUGCAGCUAUUCGAUGGAAAUACGCACCCUGAUAAAUCGUAUCUUGAUUGGCGUGCAUUAGUGCUACUUGCCUUCCAGGCAAACUGUUGUCAUAAUUUGUCUUCUAUUCCCUUCGGAUUUAUAUGCCACGAUACCGACCCCAGAGCCUGAAGGUUGUAAGCUUUGUGCAGUGAGAUAAAUCUGAUCGUUUUCGUCGCAAUGCACUGCUGAUGAGAUUUCCUGGAGCGUCGAGUGUGUUACUUUCUCCUUCCACUAUCAGUAUUAUAUUGUAAAUGCAUCGUAACGAAAGUCAUUAUCUGCUAGGAGAAUAAGUUCAGUGUCAGUGAAUCACGUACCUCCAAAGUAGGAUUAAAGUGAAUCAUCAUCGGUUCGGUAGUGUUAUUUCUCAUCAUUCGAUAGCUUUAACUACAACUAGGAAUACCAAAAUGAGUCAUCAUCAAAGGUUGCAGAUUCAGACGGCUCUAACAAUUCUAUCAGGUAUGAUGCCAUUUGUUGCUGACUCUCGUGGAGGAUUUGUUGAAACACGUAAAGACUGGUUGCAAAAUUGAACAGGUUGGAGGCAUUCGAACUGGUAUGUAGAGUUGGACUUGGAUAGCAAAUAUCUCCAGAGUUUAAUGGCAUCUAAAAAAAAUGAUGGGAAUAUAUUUGUUACACACGGUGACCGCGUAUUCGGUACGAUAAAGUUGGAACUGAAAAACAACUAAAGUAGCUCUUUCUCUUUCAUGUUGUGCCGAUCAAGUGUAUCAUCGAUGUAUUACUCCCACCUUUUAAACACCGUCCAUCUCAAUCGUUUAGCUUCUGGUGUGUGAAGAAUCAGCUGUAGUCAAAAUUCACAAAAAAAUGGUUGAACUUCUGUGAUUAUUGUAAAUGGUACAGCAUUUGAGCUUUGGCAGAGCCGGGAAAACAAAUUCUUGGAACAAUUCCCAAAAAGGGUUGAUGAGGGAAUGAAUCGUUGUUGCCGUGCUUUUUGAUUCAUAGAAGAGGCAAAUGGAUUUCACAGUCUUCGAAACAAGAAUGAUUGUCAGCUAUAUUCCCGAUGUCUUGGCUUGGGGAUUGUGCCUUUUUCAAGGGUCGUAAUGUUUACCGUCUAUCUUUUUUUGAGUUUUUACAGAAGCAAUGCACUUCUGAGUUGCUUUUUAUGUAUACGUGUUGCUAUUCUAUUUUUUUUUUAAUUUUAUAUAAUUCGCUUUGCACUGGACAAUUCUUUCAAAACAGUCGUAAUCACCGCACAGUGAAUUAUAUACAAUUAAAAUAAUAUAAAACAACAACACGUUUACAUAAAAUGCCACCCAGAAGAGCAUUCCAUAUGGAAAACUUGAAAAAUAAUAGUCGAUAGACACUACGAUCCUAGAAAAGGCCAAAGCCCCAGGCCGAAACGUCGGGAAUGUAGAUGCAAAUCGUUCGUCCUUUACACCGAGUUUCCAGUCGUAAAACUCCAUAGUUUGAUAUACGCUCAUCAGCAUUUUCCUCUAAUCUGGUGUGUCCAAGAAGGUUUAAAAUAAAAAAUCCUGGAGGAGAUCACGAAAGGCUAAUUAAAGGUAGUCUUUAAAUGGCAAACUUCAGAACUAAACCUUUAUUUUGGAUUUUUUACCAAAAUUUCUAUAAAACUUCAACUUGAUUCCAUGUGGAGAAUGCCGGGAUUUUUUUUUAUUUGAGGCGUAUUGGUAUGAGAAAUCUUUGGCCUAUGAGCAAAUAAAUUGCAUAUGGGAAUUAUUAAUGGAAGUUACGAGUGGCUUGUUGUUUUGUCUUAAAAGUACUUCUUGAGAGGCUUCUCAAAUAUUUGGUAGAAUUAUGGAGUAAUCAGAAAUUUUACAAUAUUUUCUUUAAGGCUGUCUGGAACAAUUGCUAGCUAGGAGAACUUACAUAUUUUCGCAGAUGUUGUUCUCUUCGUCAUGUUUUUUAAAACCUCUCAAAGUUGGCUUAAAAUUUUCCUAUCCAAGCUGAAUUAUACGACCAAGUUUUGGGACAUUAGGUCGAAAAAAGCCGCAUAUGACGAAGAGAACAAAUCUGCUGAUAUGUAAUACCAAAAACUAAUUUGUUUUAAAAAAUCCGAUCAGGUUUUUAGUUUUGAAAUACUAUUUUUUCUCGGAAUUCCAAAAUAGUAUUUUUUCGAUUCCAACUAAAAUUUCAAAAGUAAGUUCACCAGGAUUUGUUUUUGAGUAAGUAUUUUUCGCAGAUCAACAGUUUUAUAAAUCUUCCUAAAAUUGUAGUUUUUUAAGCCAUCGAUUGCUGUUCAGAUGCAUUUGAAGACCCUCUGAAUUUAUUUCGAGAUUCUCAUAUGAUAAUUUGCCUGGAAACUCGAAAUUUUCCCCCAGGAAUUCAUGCGAAAGCUUUUUAAGAAAUGAGAUUCUCCCAGUAAUUGAUGUUGACGUCUUGAAGCAGUUUAUUCAUUUUUAUUCGUCUUUAUUUAAACAAAAAAUCCUCCAAAAAACAGUUUUGAAUAUCCAGAAAAAAACAACAGGAAAUCAUCCAAGAUUUAUUAUUUAAGUUCCACGCGUACUUUGCGGAAAUACAGCAGAAACUAAGCAGUUUACCUUUUCAAAAUGGAUAAAGAGAUUUCAGCAAGGUGUUGCUGUAGUGAUUAUUCAAGGAAUCCCUUCACAGUGGAAUAAUGCUUUCAAAAUCACAAGAUUAAUUUAUAAAAUAUUUAACAGGUUCUACCAAACACUAUUAUUUUGUUUUGGAAAAUAAUAUCUUCUUCAAUGUACAAGGAGUGGCCAAAAUGUUUGGGAUAGGCAACUUUUUUUCUCUCACAAAAAAAUCAACAAGCUGUAACUUUUCAUAGAGUGCAUCAAAAAUUCUCAAAUCUUGACUGCUUGUCAACCUGUUAUAUGUGCAGGUAGGUACAAAUUUGGGCUCGUUUGGUUAAUCUUUCACG